UUUAAGCACAUUACUAAGGA
rnacentral:rRNA from 1 species